GGUAGGGUGUUGGAGCAGUGCCUGGGGCUGGAGGGCUGCGGAUGCAGCCACAUCUUUAGGUCUUUCCUUAUUGGAGGGGCGAGUCUGACUCAGCCCUGGGGAGCCCGCUGGAAUGGAGGUGCGGGUCUGUGCACAGUGUGUGUAAGAUCUGUUUACUCUGCUCGCCCUGUCCGCUCACCCUCAGUGUCACCCUCUCCAGGGAAUGAAACAGUUGGUCUUCUGAUCGGACACAGGGAGCCCACCCUGGUUUCAUUCCUAAGCUGGCCUGCUCUUCCCAGGGUGUGUUUCGUCAGCUGCAUCUCCGAACAGCAGUAACUGCUGCCGUGUCGAGGCACUGCACUUGACUUCUGACCUGCUGCCCUUCUGGGGGUCUCUGUUAGUUCUCUCUGGUUGGGGCAGUUGGUCCUCCUCAGUUUCUGAUAACACAGCUGGGUGGGCCUGCCUGGUGCCCGCUUUGCAGCUUGCUUGCUGGGGCAGGUGGUGGAGCAUGAGCACCCAUUUAACCUACUAGAAAGGGGUCCCUGGAGGUGGGUGCCUCAGGGAAUGGGGAGAGGCAGGGGCUGUGCCCACCCUCCACCUCCCGGCCACCCCAGGCCCUUCUG
rnacentral:lncRNA from 10 species